rnacentral:rRNA from 1 species
GAUGAACGCUAGCGAUAGGCCUAACACAUGCAAGUCGAGGGGCAGCACAUGAAGUAGCAAUACGGAUGGUGGCGACCGGCGCACGGGUGAGUAACGCGUAUGCAACCUACCUACAACAGGGGGAUAACCCGUUGAAAGACGGACUAAUACCCCAUAAUACAGGGGUCCCGCAUGGGGAUAUUUGUUAAAGAUUAAUCGGUUGUAGAUGGGCAUGCGUUCCAUUAGCUGGUUGGUGAGGUAACGGCUCACCAAGGCAACGAUGGAUAGGGGAACUGAGAGGUUUAUCCCCCACACUGGUACUGAGACACGGACCAGACUCCUACGGGAGGCAGCAGUGAGGAAUAUUGGUCAAUGGACGCAAGUCUGAACCAGCCACGUCGCGUGAAGGAAGACGGCCCUACGGGUUGUAAACUUCUUUUGUAAGGGAAUAAAGUGAGUCACGUGUGACUUUUUGCAUGUACCUUACGAAUAAGGAUCGGCUAACUCCGUG